AUAACUGUUACAUUUAACUGAAGGAAUUAUAACGGAAAUAUUUGAUAACAACAACACUUGUUUGCGUGUAUUGCUAUGCUAAUUUUGAACUUUUUUUGGAUUAUUGUAUGGUGUUAUGUAUAAAAAAAAAACCGAUUCUGGGCAACCUUUAACUAAUAAUUGUGUCUUCCAUGGAGCCACUAAAAGCUGCUCACUCGCUUGUUAGUCUCUUUACCCAUUUAUGUAUGCCUUCCAAUGGAUGAUAAGCGAGCGAUUGGUAAAAUGACUAAAAGGCGGGAAACCUCAUUUAAUUAUGCAUCGACCAAAAGUUGCUAUGAAGCGGUUCGUUAACUACCAGGCGACAGCGUAACGACAUGAUGGCCGUUCCGGUCGCCUGGUACAACCAGCACAGACGUUUCCAACUACUUGAACAACGGAGAACAUAUUCAGGAACAUUGCCCAUUGCACAGCAUUUCACUUCCCAACGUCGAUUGGCUGGAUAAGUACAAUAAUCCUAUCACCUCAAUACUAAAGGUCCGUCGUAUACUCGCCAACGGCUCACUUAAUUUCCCCUCUUCAAUGCGAAAAAGUACCAUAAAGAUGACCAUUAGUGUAUCGUGGUCGGUGUAUCAUUGGGUGGUCAGCAAUGCCGUGGGCACAAUUGAUCAAAGACCUGCUUAGUACGAUCAAAAAUUGGGAUUAGAAAUACAUAUGAGAAUCACAAUCAUUCACACUGAUUGGAUAUGCGAAGCGAUUCGCAGGUAUAUAUAAAUGCAAUGUAAUAAUUGAGUAUCGAAACUUUUUAUUAAAUAUAAAAAAUUUUUAUAAGCAAAAGAUAAAAAGUUGCCUA